GUACACACCGCCCGUCGCUGCUACCGAUUGGAUGAUCCGGUGAAAUCCCUAGAUCGUGUUAAAAUACUCUAUGUCAAAGUAGAGUUUUAAUGUGAGAAGCUGAUUAAACCUUAUCAUCUAGAGGAAGCAAAAGUCGUAACAAGGUUUCCGUAGGUGAACCUGCAGAAGGAUCA
rnacentral:rRNA from 1 species